ACUAACCCAAAACUGACGCUCAGGCACGAAAGCGUGGGUAGCGAACAGGAUUAGAUACCCUGGUAGUCCACGCCGUAAACGAUGAUCACUCGUUGUUGGCGAUACACAGUCAGUGACCAAGCGAAAGCGAUAAGUGAUCCACCUGGGGAGUACGUUCGCAAGAAUGAAACUCAAAGUGAUUGACGGGGGCCCGCACAAGCGGUGGAGCAUGUGGUUUAAUUCGAUGAUACGCGAGGAACCUUACCUGGGCUCAAAUGUAAGUUGACGUAUCGGGAAACCGAUAUUUCUUCGGACAAUUUACAAGGUGCUGCAUGGUUGUCGUCAGCUCGUGCCGUGAGGUGUCGGGUUAAGUCCCAUAACGAGCGCAACCCCUAUCAUUAGUUGCCAUCAGGUCAAGCUGGGGACUCUAGUGAAACUGCCUACGCAAGUAGAGAGGAAGGUGGGGAUGACGUCAAAUCAGCACGGCCCUUACGUCCAGGGCUACACACGUGCUACAAUGGCCGGUACAGAGGGCAGCCACCACGCGAGUGGGAGCGAAUCUCGAAAGCCGGUCUCAGUUCGGAUCGAAGUCUGCAACCCGACUUCGUGAAGCUGGAAUCGCUAGUAAUCGCGCAUCAGCCAUGGCGCGGUGAAUACGUUCCCGGGCCUUGUACACACCGCCCGUCAAGCCAUGGAAGCUGGGGGUACCUGAAGUCGGUAACCGUAAGGAGCCGCCUAGGGUAAAACUAGUAACUGGGGCUAAGUCGUAACAAGGUAGCCGUA
rnacentral:rRNA from 1 species